rfam:Camelus ferus unplaced genomic scaffold scaffold757, whole genome shotgun sequence.
GAGGGUACAGCUCAAGUGGUAGAGCACAUGCUUAGCAUGCAUGAGGUCCUGGGUUCAAUCCCCAGUACCUCCU